UUGCAAAUAUUCUUGUUUUUCUGAUUUUGUGAUAACCAGACAGGCUUAACAUUCUGGACAGAACAUGCACCUAAUCCCCAGUCCUUGUUCUUUCCCCAGGUCUGGUUUUAUAAAUGCUGGUGGUAACC
rnacentral:snoRNA from 1 species